UCAGAAGUAGAAUGCACUGGUAUUUCUGACUUGCUUUUAGUGAAUGUAUUCACAAAGAUGAGGGUGGAGGAACUGGAUGAUUUAUUUUUGUAUUUUCCCCUUUAAGCAAAAAAACAAAAGAGAGAAUGCUUUCUCAUAACAGAGGAGGGAGGUAACAGCACUUGGCAAAAACAUAACAUGUUUUGCUGGAAAUGAUUUUACUUUGUUCCUGAAAAGUAUGCUAUUUAUUGGCAGGUUAGGACAGUGUUUUACGUGUGUAAUAUGAAAUUAGUGGAGGAGGAGGUGAAGAGAAUUCAGUCCAGAUUAUUGGUUACAGUAAAUUUGUUUUCUUGUGCUAAAUAGGCAUAAAAUGGGUUUAUCCAGCUACCUAGUGGAAUACAUAGACAGUGUAGUUGGGCCUUUCUUAACCUCUGUCCCUACUUCUUUAAGCCUCAGCACAGGACAUAGCCAGGUCAUUUCUGUACCCUGAUAUAGUCUCCAACUGCUGGAACACCCCAUGGCCACAAUUUUUCCAACUAUUUAGUUGGUCUAAUAAAAAAUAUCACAUUUUACCCAAAGAACCUUGUCUGCCCAUGUCCAGAAGACAUUUUUCCUGGUUAAAGAGGCUCAGUAUUGCAUCUCAGAUAUCCCCAGUUACUAAUCAUUUGCUGUGUUUUGGCAGGUCCUUAGCUAAACUCAUUAAAAUCACACAUUAUGAGUACUACUGAUCAUGCCACAUCCUCCUUACAGCAGCAAAACAACCAGCCCAUCUCCUGAGAUCCUACAGAUAGGACAGCUGGAGUCAGAUGAUAUUUCAGUACUGCUGUUCUUGAAGUUGCCAGAGAAAAAAAAACAAGACUUUAUACCUGAAGGAGCUCAAAAGCCUUUUGUUUCAGUUGGUAACCCUAUUUUUUUAAAUAAAAGGAGGAGUAAAUGUUUGUGAAACAAGCUUUUCUAGCAUAUAAUGUGCAUGCAGCCUUCCUAUGCCCUGAUGAACUGUAGGUAAUUACCAUUUUGUUGGUGGCAAAGAGUCAGCUCUGAAGCUAAUGUGGAGAAUUAAAGCAGAAUGUACAGCGGGCAGCACCAAAGAAAGUCUGAAUGUACAAAGCAGAGAGAGAGCAUGAUGAGCUAUCUGACUCAUUGGUCUCUGGUCAGAAUAAGAGUAUUAGAAAGC